rnacentral:rRNA from 1 species
GACGAACGCUGGCGGCGUGCUUAACACAUGCGAGUCGAACGGAAAGGCCCUGCUUUUGUGGGGUGCUCGAGUGGCGAACGGGUGAGUAACACGUGAGUAACCUGCCCUUGACUUUGGGAUAACUUCAGGAAACUGGGGCUAAUACCGGCUAGGAGCUCCUGCUGCAUGGUGGGGGUUGGAAAGUUUCGGCGGUUGGGGAUGGACUCGCGGCUUAUCAGCUUGUUGGUGGGGUAGUGGCUUACCAAGGCUUUGACGGGUAGCCGGCCUGAGAGGGUGACCGGCCACAUUGGGACUGAGAUACGGCCCAGACUCCUACGGGAGGCAGCAGUGGGGAAUAUUGCACAAUGGGCGGAAGCCUGAUGCAGCAACGCCGCGUGCGGGAUGACGGCCUUCGGGUUGUAAACCGCUUUCGCCUGUGACGAAGCGUGAGUGACGGUAAUGGGUAAAGAAGCACCGGCUAACUACGUG